UGUAUGAAUUUGUCGGGACCAUCCGAUAAGGCUAAAUACUCCUGAGAGACCGAUAGUGAACUAGUACCGUGAGGGAAAGGCGAAAAGAACCCCUGUGAGGGGAGUGAAAUAGAUCCUGAAACCGUAUGCGUACAAGCAGUCGGAGCGGACUUGUUCCGUGACGGCGUACCUUUUGUAUAAUGGGUCAGCGACUUAUGUUCAGUGGCGAGGUUAACCGUUUAGGGGAGCCGUAGGGAAACCGAGUCUUAAUAGGGCGAUUAGUAGCAGG
rnacentral:rRNA from 16 species